AUUUUCUUUCUGCGCCUCACUCACUCACUCCACUCCACUAGAAGAAAUUCCAAGCUCAAGAAGAAGAGGGGAAGUAUUAUAGAGCACUUCAUAACAACUAUACUGUAAUCAACAACACCCUAUAUGUAAGUGUGUGUUUCAAGAUUUGGUUUGCCCUAAUUUUUCAAGCCUUGAUUUCUUAAAUUGCAUAUUGAUUUACUCUAUCAGAGAUGUGAUGCACUAGCAUCAUAGUAUAUAUCAUCAUUAGGAAUUGAUAUUGAUGCUGUUGAAAUGGAUUAUUCAUCAAAAUCUGUAGAUUAUUCUGUUCAAUUGUUCGGUUAUGGUUUGGUUUGGCUGUGGUUCUAUAAUAGCUGUGAUAUGAGGUUUCUUUGUUGUUGAAACCCAUCCACUGAAGAAUACAAAAAUAGAGUAUAGAUUUCAAGUCUCCAAUAAAAAUGGGAGAAAAUCUUGAUGUUGUGUAGAGCUGUAAGAAUAUCUCUUUGUUGUCUACUCUCAAGUAAAUUACAAGACAUUAUUAGAAGAGCUAAGAAGGAUUCAGAUUUGAGUUUAUUAACUUCGGAUACGAGAUUGUUGAGUUGUGAAUUUGCUUCGCAUCCUUGGAUUCUUGUCAUUGCUUGUUCAAAUGUUGUUUACCAAGUUGAUUCGAGGUUUGCCGAGAGUACUGCAAUCAUUCUAGCCAAGAUUGACUUUGCUGCUGCGCGUUGAGAUGAGCCGUCCCAUUUGUAGAACGGGGGUUCUUAUGGUUUUAAUUUCAGUAUAGCAAGUAAAUAUUGCCUAUAUAUCUUUGAUACCAGAAAGCCACCAUCUCCUGUGAUGUUGUUUACCAAGUUGAUCUGAGGCUUGACGAGAGGAGUGCAAGCAUUCUAGUAAAGAGCGAGUUGUUUUCUGCCACGAAUUCGGAUGAGCCGUCACAUUUGGUAGAGGGGUGCUGAUUGUUUUAAUUUCAGUAUAGCAAGUAAAUAUAGCAUAUACCUCUUUAAUACCAAAAAGCCGCUAUCUCAUGUGAUGUUGUUUACCAAGUUGAUUCGAGGUUUGAUGAGAGGAGUGCAAGCAUUCUAGCAAAGAGCGAGUUGUUUGCUGCCGCGAAUUCGGAUGAGCCGUCACAUUUUGUAGAGGGGUUCUGAUGGUUUUAAUUUCAGUAUAGCAAGUAAAUAUAGCAUAUACCUCUUUGAUACCAGAAAGCCACUAUCUCCUGUGUUACAAUGGGAUCAGAAUGUUGAUGAAGCUACUUAUAUGCAGGCGUUCAGUGGAUUCGACAAGGUUAUUUCUUGAAUUCCGUUGACGAAUAGAUCUUGUAAAUUAAUCUUUUUGAUUCAUGGAUAUGUCUGAAGACUGGAAAUCGUAUUUCCCUAUCCGCUCUGUCCAUUUCCCACCUCUUCUUUUAUCUGAACAUUCUACAAUAAAAUCCUCUUUGGGUCCACUUCUGUUUAGCCCUUCUCCCGGAACCCAAAGAACAGAAUUUUCAUCUCCAUGUAUUCACUUUAAAUCUGAUGAUUUCUCUACAAUGUCCAACAACAAUCUCGGUUUUCUCAAAUGCCCUGACAAUGAUAUGUUGGUUUUCUUCCCUAAUGGUGAUAAUCUCCACAGACUGGGAUUUGUUGAACUAUCGCUAAAAGUAGAUGAAAAACCAGUGAUAGAUACUGCAUCAGAUUGUGAAUUCGAAAGCGGUGGAAUUGCUAAGAUUAUGGUUACUUCUGUGUAUGAUGGUGCUGCUUCAGCUGCUGCUGCUGCAUUUGCUUCUCCUAAGGGGUCUCCACCUGUUUCAGCACCUUCUGUUACCCUAGGGUUUUUUUUAGCAUGUACAACCAGCUCUACCCAUUGGUUUAGGAUUGACUGUAUCAAUUCUCCAAGCCUGUCUUUCAUGCUUGUUGGAAUCCAUAUUUGGAGGAAGAAUGUCUUCUUUUGUUAGAUGGUGGAGGAAGAAUCUUGUUUGAUGUCAGUUGCUGUUCUGGAACUCAGAUUUCAUAAGCCAAUAUUAAAAGAACUAACAUUGAUGUUUACUUUUAUGGAAGGAUUCAGAUGUGGGUUUCUGAACUUUAGAUAUGAGAUGGUUGAGUUGUGAAUCUGCUUGGCAUCCUCGGAUUUUUGUCGUUGCUUGUUCAGAUAUUGUUUACCAAGUUAAUUCAAGGUUCGACGAGAGUAGUGCAAGUAUUCUACAAUGAUCGAGUUAUUUGCUUGCCAAGCAUUCAGAUGGGGGUAACAAAUAUUUGUUACAUUUUGUAAAGUGGGUUCUGAAGGUUUCAAUUUCAGUGUAGCAAGUAAAUAUAGUCUAUAUCUGUUCGAUCCCAGAAAGCCGCUAUCUGACUAUCUCCUGUGUUACAAUGGGCCACUCACUGUGGUUUUGCCAUUUUGCUGGGGUCAUUUUUGAAUAAUGACUCGUUUUUCUUCUUCUUUGGGCCGCCUUUGCCAGCUCCACCUGAAUCAGUGGCUUCUAUAGUUUCAGAAUUAUGCCACACCUUUUAUUCGUGGAGGUUUUUUUUUUGGAUCUAUCUUUGUCCAUCGCCAAUGAUAUAGUGGUGAUUGCCUCAUAUCUAUCUUUGUUUCAAUUUCAGUGUAGCAAGUAAAUAUAGUCUAUUUUCAGAGGCAAUGCGUCUUAAGACAGAAAUCAUUUUGGGAUUCUGCAUCGUCAAUGAAGAUCUCUUAGACAUCCAUCUUGAGUCAGAUGUUGUCCACAGUUUUGACAGAUAUGUAAUGCUUUUUGGUAGUUAGCUCAAAUCAGACUUCGUAAUCAUUCUCCAUACACCUCAAGGAAGCAAGCAUAGCUUGACAUAUGAUAAAGUGGAGGUGAAAUAGUUCAGCAGUUGGGUCAUUUUAAGCAAGUCCAGUUCUGUAAAAAUUGUAACCAGAAAAGUCUCAUUUUGUGCAAGUUCAGUUUGAUAAGAAUGCUAACCAGAAAAGUGGCAGAAAUAGCAGCGGCAUGAGCAAAGCAUAAUAUCGAAGAAGUGCAUGUUCAGAAGAAGAAUAUAUGUUGGGGACAUUAAUGAAUGUAGAAGGGAAGACAAAAGGUAAAAAUAGAAGGUUGUAUUCACUGCUAGAUCUGAAUGCGCGCGUGUAAUAAUGGAAGCUUAGAAGAUCAAAGUUGACUAUUUAGAUUGGGAAGAAACUUGGGGUAUAGGUCAGCAAGGAGCACUACUUGACAUCCAGGUGAACUACUUGGGGUCCCCAAAAUUCAUGAAAGAAUGUCUCCACUUACCUCCAGCUCUCAUCAAUGUUGGUAGAACUGUGCCUGUCACAAGGGCUCUCUGGAAGCAGCAAUGUCUACUCAGUUUCAGGUAUGUCUUCCCAGUAAUUUCCAAUACAAUAAUUUCAGUUUUAAGCCUUUUUUGCAACCUCCUUUAGUCUCUAAUCCACCUGAUUUUUGUACUUGUUACGUUCCGUAGCAUGCCUAUAUGAUAUUCAGAUGCAGCCUACUUGUUUCCUUUUCUUAAUGUUUUUCUCAUCUUUAUAGUACAAAAGGUUUUGUUUCAGUGUUUUAUCAUUUAAAACUACCUUUUAAGAUAGGUUCAUUUUUUUUUAUCUGGAAUUUUGUUCUAUAGGUUUUGUAACUUGUAUCACUUCAUAGUUCAUACUAAGAAGUUUCAAUUGGUUGCAAAUCGUGAUGCACAUCUGGACAUCAAACCUUAUUAAUUGACUGUUUGUGUUCAGAAUUGCGCCACUAUAUGCUCUUUCGUAAAAAAAAAUCUGCUGUACUCCGUUCUCUUCCAAUGAUUCGGCUUCAAUCUGUUUGUCUUCCUAGAGUGAUAGCAUUAUUUCUGUACUAAUUUAUGGCUUCUUAAAGAGAAUCUUGGCACAACAGACGAUUUCUGCUAGAAAUCUGCAAGCUUCACGGAAUCAAAAAUUGUCUGGGAUUAUUUUUCCAGAUCUAAAUCUGGUGGCAAAGAGGUCUCGAGACACUGGCUUUCAACAUCAACGUUCUAAUCUCAACUGUAGUUAAAACUUUCCUCCAGAAACGAGUACUCUUUUGGGAUCCUCCUGUCGCCUCGUGAUAUUCAGUGGGAACACUCUGCAUUACGGAUCCUCAAUUUGUUUCCUGGCUUCCUGUUUAGCUUUGUGCUAUUUUUGUAUCUCAGUUUUCUCUUUUUGGUUUUGCAUUCCGCCUUGUUCAUCGGAGUUUGCUUUGUAUAAUCCACUUUGGAGGCCAAAUUGGAUUCAAUAAACUUGAGAUUGAACCGAGAUUUUUACUCGAAUGCAAUUGUAGAGUUUUCUGUUUCUUGUUGAAUACAUUUCUAUUUGAUUCGAUGAACCAACCA